rnacentral:lncRNA from 1 species
GUCCGGCUCCCGUAGGAGUCCGGGCGGAGCUGCGCUGUUGUCGUCGGUGGAGCCCGGCUCCCGUAGAAGUCCGGGCGGAGCUGCCCUUGCUGAUGGCGGUGGAGCCCGGCUCCCGUAGGAGUCUGGGCGGAGCUGCACUUGCUGAUGGCGGUGGAGCCCGGCUCCCGUAGGAGUCCGGGCGGAGCUGCACUUGUUGAUGGCGGUGGAGCCCGGCUCCCGUAGGA